rnacentral:rRNA from 1 species
AUCAACGUUCAUACCGCACUGAAUAAACUCGUUCUCCUCCGAUCACGAGAGUUAAGCAGUGCUGGGCACGGAUAGUAUAGUACUUAGAUGGGUUGACCGCUUGGGAACUCUGUGUGAUGUUGGUU